rnacentral:rRNA from 1 species
CCUACGGGCGGCUGCAGUGGGGAAUAUUGGACAAUGGGCGAAAGCCUGAUCCAGCCAUGCCGCGUGUGUGAAGAAGGCCUUCGGGUUGUAAAGCACUUUCAGUGGGGAAGAAAGCCUUGGGGCUAAUACCCUCGAGGAAGGACAUCACCCACAGAAGAAGCACCGGCUAACUCCGUGCCAGCAGCCGCGGUAAUACGGAGGGUGCGAGCGUUAAUCGGAAUUACUGGGCGUAAAGCGCGCGUAGGCGGUCUGAUAAGCCGGUUGUGAAAGCCCCGGGCUCAACCUGGGAACGGCAUCCGGAACUGUCAGGCUAGAGUGCAGGAGAGGAAGGUAGAAUUCCCGGUGUAGCGGUGAAAUGCGUAGAGAUCGGGAGGAAUACCAGUGGCGAAGGCGGCCUUCUGGACUGACACUGACGCUGAGGUGCGAAGGCGUGGGUAGCAAACAGGAUUAGAUACCCCGGUAGUC